GAUCUGAUCUCCCCCUUCAAUUAAUACAUGUAUUUAACUCUCAUCUUCUACCCCCACCUUCUUUUAUUCAAUUCUUUUUCCAAUUUUAUUUCUCCUAGCCUAUGUGUAAUCAAUUCUUGAUUUAAAUGGGAUUUCGUCCCAUUAUAUCCUCUCUCUCUCACUCUAUUUAUACACAUAUAUAUAUAUAUGUGUAUAGCCCUUAAAGGUUGAACUCACACCAACAAUUGCAAAUAUAUAUAUAUAUACACAUACAUAUAUCAAGAAAUCUUCCAACUCCCUCAGAAUCCCAAAUUGCAUGCAGUUGAAUUCUCUGGUAAAAGGUGUGGGGAAACAUGAUCAAGUAUGAUGGAGAGAGCCCAAAACUUGAGCUAAAGCUGAACCUGUCCCCACCGGGGGAACAGCGACAAGUUAUGUCGCCAAAAGGGGCGAAAUCGAUAUCGAUUUCGCCCCGGAGCUCGUGUGUGUCGCGGGAGACGAGCCCCGACGGCCACGCGAGCAGCCCGGAGGCGAUGUCGAUGAUGUUGGUGGGAUGCCCGCGCUGCCUUAUGUAUGUCAUGUUGUUUCAAGACGAUCCAAAGUGCCCCAAAUGCAAGAGCACUGUUUUGCUUAAUUUUCUGCAUGAGCCUCACCACCUCAGUGUCUUCAACUCUUGAGUUUAGUUUAGAAUCCUAGCUCCCCUAAUUAAUUAAAGCCCUCCUGUAUUUUAUUUUUCUUUUUUUUAGUUUUAAAGUUGCAUCUUUUCUUGAUGUAUAAUUAAGACAGAGGAGAAGGAAUGAAGAAUAAGGGGGUGGUUUUGUAAUUUCA